ACGUAGGGGGCAAGCGUUAUCCGGAAUUAUUGGGCGUAAAGAGUGCGUAGGUGGUUUUUUAAGCGGGAGGUGAAAGGCAAUAGCUUAACUAUUGUAAGCCUUGCGAACUGGAAGACUUGAGUGCAGGAGAGGAAAGUGGAAUUCCUAGUGUAGCGGUGAAAUGCGUAGAUAUUAGGAGGAACACCGAUGGCGAAGGCAGCUUUCUGGACUAUAACUGACGCUGAGGCGCGAAAGCGUGGGGAGCAAACAG
rnacentral:rRNA from 1 species